AUAGAAGGGGGCUACACAGGGUGGGGAGCUCCUGCCAGCUCUGGCAGAGUUGGAUUUGGGGUUUGCACAGGCUGGGCCACUGUCUAGUGGAGGGCUGGCCCAGAAUUGUGCACCCAUACAGGACACUGCCACUGUACGUCAGGCACCCAUCACCUGAUGGGUGGUGGCCCCGUACCCUUCCAGUUCUGUCCUUAGCUUCAGUGUUGUCCUGUUCUGCCCAUGGGUCUUGCCAUGCAGCACGAAGGGAGCUGCUGGCUCUGGAGCUGUGCUGGCACCUGGGCUGGUUUCCAGACAAAUGACUUCAAGGCCAGGCUGGGCACGGUGGCAAGAAGGCAGUGCUUACACCUUGGGUGUAGGCUGCCCCACAGCCGUUGCCACCUGCCCCUCUGUUUGGUUGUGGCCUUGUACCAAGAGGUUCACAAUCCUUGGGUGUCCUGGCAUCCAGAAUCUUACCCCAGGGAAAUGUGGAUCCAGGGGUGCAAGCCCAGUGUGCAGCUUGUCUGGUCCUUCAGAGGCUAUUUACCACUGUUCUGGUUGGUGCCUGAAGGGCAGCAGUUUGUGGGGCUGUGUGAGCUUUCUGUGCCCCAACUAUGCUGAAGGGAAGGAUGGGGCCCUUCCCUGCUUCCCACUGCUCUGUCUUCCCUGUGAUCUGGAGACCCUGGGUAGACACUGUAGGGUCUUGCAGGAGCGCCAGUGCCCCAUACAGACACUUCGAGGGUGGAUUGGGAUGUACCACAGGUCAGCUGUGGGCAGAUGUUGGCCACUCAGUAUGCAGUGUCACAGGCUGCAGGGACCAGAGUGGCAGCCAGGGAAGGAAGGCGCAGAAGGACUCCCCAAGCCACAGAAGGACUCUUCGAAAGAAGGCUUCUCUCGUGUGGGAGUUGGGGAAUGAAAACCAGAUGCCCCUUCUUUGAGAGCCCAUGGGGUGGGACUGGAGUGCACUGCCUCUCCAUCCGGGGCUUGGAGAGGAUACCUAUAGAGUGGGCCCUCUGCCCUCCGUCAGCAUGGUUCAUUUGGGAAUUUCCCCUAGGUGGGCCAGGACCUCUGCUCUCACCUGUACCCUGGGGGUGGGGUAUUUCCAACCUCUCCCUGCUGCAUGUCCUGGGAGGAGGCCUGGGGUCCCCCGCCAACUGGCAGCAUUAACUUAGGGAUAGAUGAAGGGCACAAUUUAAUAGACACAGAGGGACAUAGAGGACCCUGCAGCCUCCUCCAGCUUGGGGAUCCUUCAGGGCAGUGUAGUAUUAGGGGUCUGCAUAUAAGAAAGUGCAAUGUGUGUGCAUGAGUACUUAUCUCCAGAUUCCUGUGCACCCCAUCCUUGCUAAGUUGUCGACAGGAAUGCCCAGGGGUGCCCAUCUUUCUGUCCUGCAGGAGUUUCCUAAACUGAACUGUUUUAGCAGUUGUCUCAGCAUGGUCCUGUUCCCUGGAUGGCCGGGGACCAGAGUUUCUAGGAGUGAGGGGACACACGUAUACAUGUCCCAGUGUGGUGCGUGUGGGGGAGGGAGCAGACUCACACGUUCGCACACCAGCACAGCCUGAGCAUGCUCAUGCACUGGCCUCCCGCCCCUCCCCGCCCUUCCCCCAGAGCCCUUAUAGCCACAUCCUCCAAGGAAAAACCCAGACUCCUGUGAACGUGGCUGAGGAUGUGCGUGGGGGCCUGUGCCCUUUUGCUUCUGGGGCUGAUGCUUGGCGCCAAGGCUGGGCACACCUGUGUCGGGGACACUUAUUAUAACGGCUACAUGUGCUGUCAUGACUGCCAGCCAGGUAACAGGAUGGUGAGCCGCUGCAAAGGCACUGUGGACAGUGUGUGCCUCCCAUGUGAGCCUGGUUUCUACAAUGAGGGUGUCAACUACGAGGCCUGCAAGCCAUGCACGCACUGCAACCGGAGAAGUGGAAGUGAAAUCAAGCAGAACUGCACAGCGACGCAGGAUACUGUCUGCCACUGCAGGCCUGGCACUCAGCCUUUGGAUGGCUUCAAGCAUGGAGUUGACUGCAAGCCCUGCCCUCCUGGCUAUUUCUCCUUGGGCAGCAAUCAGGCCUGCAAGCCCUGGACCGACUGUGCCUCAGCUAAGAAACAGAUCCUGAAGCAAGGCACCAGCAGUUCAGACGCCAUCUGUGAGGACAGAAGUCCCUUGGCCACACUGCUCUGGAAGACCCAGGGUCCCAUUGCUAGGCCCACCAAGGCCAGCCCCACCAUGAGCCGGCCUACCAUGGCCCAGGCCACCACAUCCAGGCCCACCACAGCCUGGGCCAGGACCUCUCAGGGACCCUUCAUGCCACCCUCGGAGGCUCCCAGGGCUGACCCCUCCUUGCAGGCCCGAUGCUGGCUGCCAUCCUGGGCCUGGGCCUGGGUCUGAGCCUGCUGGUCCCGAUGGCCGUACUGCUGGCUUUGUUGCUAUACCGAAGGACCUGGAUGCCUCCUGGUACCCCCAAACCCCGUGGGGGAAAAAGCUUCCGGAAGCCCAUCCAAGAAGAGCAGGCUGAUGCACAUUCUACCCUGGCCAAGAUCUGAGCAGCGCGAAGGGCUUUGUGGGUGGGGUGUCCCAGGUGCAGGCUGCUGGCCUGCGCCCUCUGCGCCGUUCUAGGUGCUGGGCUGGCUCUGGGUACUUCUACGUAUGUUGUGCAUACUACCUGCCUGGAUGGCGCCCCAGUAAACAUGCUGGCAACCUUGA